rnacentral:rRNA from 1 species
GACGAACGCUGGCGGCGUGCCUAAUACAUGCAAGUCGAACGCUUCUUUCCUCCCGAGUGCUUGCACUCAAUUGGAAAGAGGAGUGGCGGACGGGUGAGUAACACGUGGGUAACCUACCCAUCAGAGGGGGAUAACACUUGGAAACAGGUGCUAAUACCGCAUAACAGUUCAUGCCGCAUGGCAUAAGAGUGAAAGGCGCUUUCGGGUGUCGCUGAUGGAUGGACCCGCGGUGCAUUAGCUAGUUGGUGAGGUAACGGCUCACCAAGGCCACGAUGCAUAGCCGACCUGAGAGGGUGAUCGGCCACACUGGGACUGAGACACGGCCCAGACUCCUACGGGAGGCAGCAGUAGGGAAUCUUCGGCAAUGGACGAAAGUCUGACCGAGCAACGCCGCGUGAGUGAAGAAGGUUUUCGGAUCGUAAAACUCUGUUGUUAGAGAAGAACAAGGACGUUAGUAACUGAACGUCCCCUGACGGUAUCUAACCAGAAAGCCACGGCUAACUACGUG